CCUGCCUCGGCACACUUGCCGUUGGAGCCACUGUUGUUCCACCUAAGUGUUCCAGGUUCACUCUGGGGCAGAGGCAGUGGCUAUUUGUGAACAUUCUCGGCUGAUCAAAAGUGUCCAAACACGGAAGGGAUCACCCACCAGGGGCUUGUGUCACAGAAUAAUUUGCCUCUUGGUUGGUAUCUCCUCUCUCCAACCCUAGGGAGCAUCCAUGCUUUCACGUGGGAGCGCCAAGCCUCUCCUCUUUAGAAAAGUGAGGCUUUAGUGACUUCUUCUGCUCUGCCAGGCCCAUGGAAGGAGCACUGUCCCCUGACUUCUGCGGGGAGAGGUGAACUGGAGCUGCUCAACUAAGGAGAAGCAGACACCUUCUUCUCUGGGGCUCGGCCAGGGUCCAGAAGAAAAUCUGGACACAGAGAUGGAUGCUCAGGAAAGAAGGCCCAUGAUGACGAGGCAGAGACUGGAGCGACACAGCCACAUGCCAAGCAACGCUGAGGAUUGUGAGCAACCGUCAGAAGCCAGAAGAGGCACGGGAGGGUCCUUCCCAGAUGCUUUGGAGGAAGUGUGGUGGUGCCUACAUUUUGAUUUCAGAGAUCCAGUUUUUAUAACCACGAGAGGAUACAUUUUUGUUGUUUGAAGUGCCCCCAGUUUAUAGUCAUUGGUUACAGCAGACAUAGGAGACCUCUACAACCACAUUCUGAAAACUGAUCAUUAGAAGAUCAAUGAACAAUUAAGAAAAAUGGCUUUAUUCAUAUACUGAUGAACGUUUUGAUAUUCAUGACAUUUCUUUCUUGUAGUUGUUUGGCUAGGUGAAUCCUUCUGAGAUUAGAAGGUGAAAAAAAUAAGAUUAUG
ensembl:lncRNA